UAAAAGCAGCAUUUUUCUUCUGCAUAGUAAAGUUUCAAAGCUGUAUUAAGUCAAUGUUGACUUGUAAACUUUUGGAAGAACAACCAUAACGUUUUGUUCAGAGUUGGAAACAUUUCAGAGUUACGAACAAUCUACAUGCCCAAGGUGUUCAUAAUUUUGAGGCUCUACUCUACUUUUUUUUUUGAGUUU